UUAGUAGCCAGUAUUUCGUAAGUCAAAACAGGAAAUUUUUAACAUUCUAUUCUGUUCGGUUUUACAUAGAAAAGGUAUCUGAAAAGUUACAUGGAAGCAUUCAUCUUCAAAUUAGUAGAUCAGGUUACUUGCCCUGACAAUAGAGGCAAUCAAUCAGGAAGGAAAAAUGGACGGAGAGAUAGUAACCAGCAGAAAAAUAUGGUCGAAAGUCAAAACAAAAAUCAUACACGAGGUUCUACUUCUAAUAAGGGUGGACGCCCAUCAACUCCCAAAUUAAUUGAGGGUAGACCGAAAAAGGGACCAACUCAGAAAACUAGAUCUUCAACAAUCUGAAAAUUAUUAAAAAAUGCUCCCAUCAACAUUCGAAGUAAUAUUAUUUGUUUCCGAAUAGAGUAAUGGAAGCAACAUGGUUGAUUAGUGGUCAAAUUAAAAAGGGAGGAAGACAGCUAAAAAGUCCUGAAACUACCAGCUCAUAUUAAAAGAUGUUCAAGAAAAUUUCGGGUACUGUUUCGGGUGUAUACCCAGGAAAGAUGCAGAUGGCUUAUUUUGAGCUUACUAAAGAAUGCGAUAGACAAUUACUUCAAAUGGGACUCAAAUUUUCUCGCUUUUAUUAGACGGCUAAGUUUUAUUGAAGAAAAUUUGGUUUAUUUAUAUAUUUAUUUAUAUAACAUCUGCGUCUA